GACGAACGCUGGCGGCGUGCCUAACACAUGCAAGUCGAGCGGAGUCGAUCGACGGAAGCCUUCGGGCGGAAGAUGGUUGACUUAGCGGCGGAUGGGUGAGUAACGCGUGGGCAACCUGCCUCGAAGACCGGGAUAACAGCCCGAAAGGGCUGCUAAUACCGGAUGUGGUCAAGGAUCCGCAUGGAUUUUUGAUUAAAGGGGAAACCCGUUUCGAGAUGGGCCCGCGUCCUAUCAGCUAGUUGGUGAGGUAAAAGCUCACCAAGGCGACGACGGGUAGCCGGCCUGAGAGGGUGACCGGCCACACUGGAACUGAGACACGGUCCAGACUCCUACGGGGGCAGCAGUGGGGAAUCUUCCACAAUGGGCGAAAGCCUGAUGGAGCGACGCCGCGUGAGCGAAGAAGGCCUUCGGGUUGUAAAGCUCUGUCUGGAGGGACGAAGGAAGUGACGGUACCUCCGGAGGAAGCCACGGCUAACUACGUGCCAGCAGCCGCGGUAAACCCACGAGAGUA
rnacentral:rRNA from 1 species